GACGGCCUUCGGGUUGUAAACCUCUUUUAGCAGGGAAGAAGCGAGAGUGACGGUACCUGCAGAAAAAGCACCGGCUAACUACGUGCCAGCAGCCGCGGUAAUACGUAGGGUGCAAGCGUUAUCCGGAAUUAUUGGGCGUAAAGAGCUCGUAGGCGGUCUGUCGCGUCUGCUGUGAAAUCCCGAGGCUCAACCUCGGGCUUGCAGUGGGUACGGGCAGACUAGAGUGCGGUAGGGGAGAUUGGAAUUCCUGGUGUAGCGGUGGAAUGCGCAGAUAUCAGGAGGAACACCGAUGGCGAAGGCAGAUCUCUGGGCCGUAACUGACGCUGAGGAGCGAAAGGGUGGGGAGCAAACAGGCUUAGAUACCCUGGUAGUCCACCCCGUAAACGUUGGGAACUAGUUGUGGGGUCCUUUCCACGGAUUCCGUGACGCAGCUAACGCAUUAAGUUCCCCGCCUGGGGAGUACGGCCGCAAGGCUAAAACUCAAAGGAAUUGACGGGGACCCGCACAAGCGGCGGAGCAUGCGGAUUAAUUCGAUGCAACGCGAAGAACCUUACCAAGGCUUGACAUACACGAGAACGGGCCAGAAAUGGUCAACUCUUUGGACACUCGUGAACAGGUGGUGCAUGGUUGUCGUCAGCUCGUGUCGUGAGAUGUUGGGUUAAGUCCCGCAACGAGCGCAACCCUCGUUCUAUGUUGCCAGCACGUAAUGGUGGGAACUCAUGGGAUACUGCCGGGGUCAACUCGGAGGAAGGUGGGGAUGACGUCAAAUCAUCAUGCCCCUUAUGUCUUGGGCUUCACGCAUGCUACAAUGGCCGGUACAAUGGGCUGCGAUACCGUAAGGUGGAGCGAA
rnacentral:rRNA from 1 species